rnacentral:rRNA from 1 species
ACCUCGGGAAACUGAGGAUAAUGUUUCAUAAUUGAAUUGGCUUGGAAAAGUUUUUCAAUGAAAAGGAUAAAAAUAAUGGUUUUUAUCUGCUAUAGGAUAGGAUCGUGUUCGAUUAUGGUUGUUGGUGAGAUAAUGGCUCACCAAGCCGAUAAUCGAUAGGGGCCGUGAGAGCGGGAGCCCCGAGAUGGGUACUGAGACAACGACCCAGGCCUUACGAGGCGCAGCAGGCGCGGAACCUCCGCAAUACACGAAAGUGUGACGGGGUUACCCAAAGUGUUCAAUAGAACUGUGGUAGGUGAGUAAUGUCCCCUACUAGAAAGGAGAGGGCAAGGCUGGUGCCAGCCGCCGCGGUAAAACCAGCUCUUCAAGUGGUCGGGAUAAUUAUUGGGCUUAAAGUGUCCGUAGCCGGUUUAGUAAGUUCCUGGUAAAAUCGGGUAGCUUAACUAUCUGCAUGCUAGGAAUACUGCUAUACUAGAGGGCGGGAGAGGUCUGAGGUACUACAGGGGUAGGGGUGAAAUCUUAUAAUCCUUGUAGGACCACCAGUGGCGAAGGCGUCAGACUGGAACGCGCCUGACGGUGAGGGACGAAAGCCAGGGGAGCGAACCGGAUUAGAUACCCGGGUAGUCCUGGCCGUAAACGAUGCAUACUAGGUGAUGGUACGGCCAUGAGCCGUAUCAGUGCCGUAGGGAAACCGCUAAGUGUGCCGCCUGGGAAGUACGGUCGCAAGGCUAAAACUUAAAGGAAUUGGCGGGGGAGCACCACAAGGGGUGAAGCCUGCGGUUCAAUUGGAUUCAACGCCGGGAA